GUAUCUCGGACGACCCACUCCUCCUCCCAAGGGGCGUCCGAUUGGAAUGACGGCACUCCUCCUCCCAGCCGUCAUUCGGUUCUUUUCAGAAAGCCUGCCGCACCUCCUCCCGCGGCGGGCUUUUUGA
rnacentral:sRNA from 2 species